CGCCUGCUCGGCCCGGCCAGCAAGCGCAGCGACCGGGCGUCGCUCGGCCCGCCCAGCAGCAGGGCUCCACCCGCUGACGACGACUUGUCGGACUCUGAUUCCGAGGCAGCGCAGUUGAGCCCGGAGUACAUCAAAAUGGUGGGUGAGGCGCACCAGCUGGUGGUCGGUGUCAGCCUGCGACUCAACAACGUCUGCCUGGAGACAAGUCAGACGUCGCGCCAGUGGGCGGUCACGCAGCAGCAGCGGCGCGACAGUCGCCGCCGGUACUGGGAGGA